AGCUCCAAUAGCGUAUACUAAAGUUGUUGCAGUUAAAAAGCUCGUAGUUGGAUUUCUGGUCGUGGACAUCGGUCCGAUCCUCGCGGAUUGUGUACCAGGUGUCUGCAGCCAUCCUCGGAGAGAGCAUAUCUGACAUUAAGUUGCCGGAUAUGGGAUCUUCGUCAUUUACUGUGAGCAAAAUAGAGUGUUCAAAGCAGGCUUAGGCCGUUGAAUAUAUUAGCAUGGAAUAAUAAGAUAGGACCUUGGUCUAUUUUGUUGGUUUGCACUCCAAGGUAAUGAUUAAUAGGGAUAGUUGGGGGUAUUCGUAUUCAAUUGUCAGAGGUGAAAUUCUUGGAUUUAUGGAAGACGAACUACUGCGAAAGCAUUUACCAAGGAUGUUUUCA
rnacentral:rRNA from 1 species